rnacentral:misc_RNA from 1 species
UCCGGCUUGUCACCGGCGGUUUCUUCAGAGUGCCCAGCCGAACUGAUGGCAACUGAAGACGAGGGUUGCGCUCGUUGCGGGACUUAACCCAACAUCUCGCGACACGAGCUGGCGACAGCCAUGCAGCACCUGUGUGGUAUCCAGCCGAACUGAAGGGAUCCAUCUCUGGAUCCCGCGAUACCCAUGUCAAGGGCCGGUAAGGUUCUUCGCGUUGCUUCGAAUUAAACCACAUACUCCACCGCUUGUGCGGGCCCCCGUCAAUUCCUUUGAGUUUCAUUCUUGCGAACGUACUCCCCAGGUGGGUUACUUAUCACUUUCGCUUAGCCACUCAGUCUUACGACCAAACAGCUAGUAACCAUCGUUUACGGCGUAGACUAC